GGAGUUGUGGCUCAGUGGUAGAGCACUUGCCUGGCAUGCAUGAAGGCCCUGCGUUUGAUCCUCAGUGCUGCA
rnacentral:tRNA from 1 species